rnacentral:RNase_P_RNA from 2 species
UUUUGGGUUUGGAUGAUCGCUUUGAUGUAGGGACAAUCCUCGGAUUGUCCCUACAAAAUCAGAGAGGAAAGUCCGGACUCCUUCAAGCAGGGUGCUGGCUAACGGCCAGGGUUCGCACUUUGUGCGGAUACGGAAAGUGCCACAGAAACUAUGUACAGGCUUCGUUAUGCGAGGUGCUGUAGUGAAAAGGGUAAACCCCACCCGGAGCAAGGCCAAAUAGGCCCCGUGGAUUUCCUUUCUUUACGGAAGUGGAAAUCGUCAGUGCUUGUCUGAUUAAAGAGAAGUGAAUAACUUUUUCUUUUGACGGGGUGGGUAGGCUGCAUUGAGCCUUUUAGUGAUAAAGGGCCCAGAUAAAUGAUCAUCGCCCCGUUACGCGGGGCUACAGAAUCCGGCUUACAGAACUUAAAAAUGC